ACCUGGGUGGCUCAGUGGUUGAGCAUCAGCCUUUGUCUGGGGUCCUGGGUUCAAGUCCCAUAUCAGGUU
rnacentral:tRNA from 1 species